rnacentral:sRNA from 1 species
GCUUCAAGAGAUGGUUCCGUUGCUUUGGGGUGAACUUGGUACCAGUGCCGUGUUACUUAUCCAGUUCUAACUCAAGAAAGUUCUGGAGGGCAUAAUGAUCUUAGAUAAGACCAAGGCCCCGAACCUGACCAUGUUCUGUCUUCCCUCUUUGGCAGCAUGUAAGCAGCUGUUUGCCAAGAACCCAGGUCACUGCUAAGAAAGGGUGUCUUCGGGAGAAGAGUGUCCAGAGGAGACCAAUGCCAGAUGCAUCUGGAGUUACACUCAGCACUUGCAGUAUGAGACAUUGUGUGCCAGCAUCUCCUUCCUUCUGGCAAAGACUGUAGCUCUCCAGGUAGGAGGGUCCUGGAAGCUGUGAGCACCAGGAGCCUUGCCAGAGGAGGAUGGGGCCAGAUAUGAACUCUCUACCAUGAACAUGGUUCUCAGCUUAUAAAGGAAUUUUAAGUAAAACAAUUAUUUAAUUUCCACAUAUUCAAGUUCAAAAGCCUUCUGUGUGAAGUGCCAGUGAUUACCCCUCCAUAGGA